AUAUAUAAACGAUCAAUGGAUUACUUAUAAGAUAGAAGUGAUAAUUAU
rnacentral:guide_RNA from 1 species